UGGGGAAUAUUGCGCAAUGGGGGGAACCCUGACGCAGCCAUGCCGCGUGAAUGAAGAAGGCCUUCGGGUUGUAAAGUUCUUUCGGUAUUGAGGAAGGUUGAUGUGAUAAUAGCACAUCAAAUUGACGUUAAAUACAGAAGAAGCACCGGCUAACUCCGUGCCAGCAGCCGCGGUAAUACGGAGGGUGCGAGCGUUAAUCGGAAUAACUGGGCGUAAAGGGCACGCAGGCGGUUAUUUAAGUGAGGUGUGAAAGCCCUGGGCUUAACCUAGGAAUUGCAUUUCAGACUGGGUAACUAGAGUACUUUAGGGAGGGGUAGAAUUCCACGUGUAGCGGUGAAAUGCGUAGAGAUGUGGAGGAAUACCGAAGGCGAAGGCAGCCCCUUGGGAAUGUACUGACGCUCAUGUGCGAAAGCGUGGGGAGCAAACAGGAUUAGAUACCCUGGUAGUCCACGCUGUAAACGCUGUCGAUUUGGGGGUUGGGGUUUAACUUUGGCGCCCGUAGCUAACGUGAUAAAUCGACCGCCUGGGGAGUACGGCCGCAGGGUUA
rnacentral:rRNA from 1 species